CCUACGGGUGGCAGCAGUCGAGAAUCAUUCACAAUGGGGGAAACCCUGAUGGUGCGACGCCGCGUGGGGGAAUGAAGGUCUUCGGAUUGUAAACCCCUGUCAUGUGGGAGCAAAUUAAAAAGAUAGUACCACAAGAGGAAGAGACGGCUAACUCUGUGCCAGCAGCCGCGGUAAUACAGAGGUCUCAAGCGUUGUUCGGAAUCACUGGGCGUAAGGCGUGCGUAGGCUGUUUCGUAAGUCGUGUGUGAAAGGCGCGGGCUCAACCCGCGGACGGCACAUGAUACUGCGAGACUAGAGUAAUGGAGGGGGAGCAGGAAUUCUAGGUGUAGCAGUGAAAUGCGUAGAUAUCGAGAGGAACACUCGUGGCGAAGGCGGGUUCCUGGACAUUAACUGACGCUGAGGCACGAAGGCCAGGGGAGCGAAAGGGAUUAGAUACCCUGGUAGUC
rnacentral:rRNA from 1 species